rnacentral:rRNA from 1 species
UUGCCUACGGGGCGCAGCAGUGAGGAAUAUUGGUCAAUGGACGAGAGUCUGAACCAGCCAAGUCGCGUGAAGGAUGACUGCCCUAUGGGUUGUAAACUUCUUUUAUAUGGGAGUAAAGUUUUCCACGUGUGGAAUUUUGUAUGUACCAUAUGAAUAAGGAUCGGCUAACUCCGUGCCAGCAGCCGCGGUAAUACGGAGGAUCCGAGCGUUAUCCGGAUUUAUUGGGUUUAAAGGGAGCGUAGGUGGAUUGUUAAGUCAGUUGUGAAAGUUUGCGGCUCAACCGUAAAAUUGCAGUUGAAACUGGG